CUAUACUAACAGCCGAAAUCCAUGGUCAAACUAUGGGUGCGGGGGAACCGGGUAUUAGGGGCGUAUCGCCGUCCGGCGUAGGACAACCUCAUCGGUCCAAGCCCUGCAGCUAACCUCGUAGGCGUCGAUGGGGAGAGAC
rnacentral:sRNA from 2 species